GUAGGUGGCAAGCGUUGUCCGGAAUUAUUGGGCGUAAAGCGCGCGCAGGGCGGUUCUUUAAGUCUGAUGUGAAAGCCCACGGCUCAACCGUGGAGGGUCAUUGGAAACUGGAGAACUUGAGUACAGAAGAGGAAAGCGGAAUUCCACGUGUAGCGGUGAAAUGCGUAGAGAUGUGGAGGAACACCAGUGGCGAAGGCGGCUUUCUGGUCUGUAACUGACGCUGAGGCGCGAAAGCGUGGGGAGCAAACAGGAUUAGAUACCCUGGUAGUCCACGCCGUAAACGAUGAGUGCUAAGUGUUAGGGGGUUUCCCCCCCUUAGUGCUGCAGCUAACGCAUUAAGCACUCCGCCUGGGGAGUACGGCCGCAAGGCUG
rnacentral:rRNA from 1 species